rnacentral:rRNA from 1 species
CACGUAGGGGGCAAGCGUUGUCCGGAUUUAUUGGGCGUAAAGAGCUCGUAGGUGGUUCGGUAAGUCGGGUGUUAAACCCCCAGGCUCAACCUGGGGACGCCACUCGAUACUGCUGUGACUUGAGUCCGGUAGGGGAGCGUGGAAUUCCUGGUGUAGGCGGUGAAAUGCGCAGAUAUCAGGAGGAACACCAGCGGCGAAGGCGGCGCUCUGGGCCGGUACUGACACUGAGGAGCGAAAGCGUGGGUAGCAAACAGGG